AGAAAAGUGACCGCUGCCCCGCGCAGGGGCGACGCUAAUAGACCGACACGAUUGCAGGUGCUUCACGCCAACCGCGAGCAAACCACCAAACAAACCAAACCCAAACCUCAA
rnacentral:sRNA from 1 species